CAGCAGCCGCGGUAAUACAGAGGGUGCGAGCGUUAAUCGGAUUUACUGGGCGUAAAGCGUGCGUAGGCGGCUUUUUAAGUCGGAUGUGAAAUCCCUGAGCUUAACUUAGGAAUUGCAUUCGAUACUGGGAAGCUAGAGUAUGGGAGAGGAUGGUAGAAUUCCAGGUGUAGCGGUGAAAUGCGUAGAGAUCUGGAGGAAUACCGAUGGCGAAGGCAGCCAUCUGGCCUAAUACUGACGCUGAGGUACGAAAGCAUGGGGAGCAAACAGGAUUAGAUACCCCGGUAGUCCCUGUCUCUUAUAU
rnacentral:rRNA from 1 species